UUUUAAUGAUUGGUUGGAAUAGAACAAAUGGAACAUAGAAACUGUUGGGAAUCCGGUACUCGCCCCGGUAGCGGAUCUCGUGAAUCCGCAACCCGCUCCGAUACCGACUGCUGUGGAUCCGGUAUCGAUUGUUGGGAUUCCGCAACGGAAACGUCAAAUCGAAUUUUUACCAUAAUUAAACCCGUCUUCUCAGUAAAAUCUGAUACAAUCUUAAAAGAGAAAAAUAUAUAGGUAAAAUAAGAUUCAUUAAAUAAGAGAAGAUUACACCUGACUCCUCUUCUGUACAGAGUAGCUACAACCCGAGCUCUCUUUCUUGAAUCUCUUCUACUCUUCUCUCGUCUUCUAUAAACCCACAAA
rnacentral:lncRNA from 1 species